rnacentral:rRNA from 1 species
CGAGCGAACGGACGAGAAGCUUGCUUCUCUGAUGUUAGCGGCGGACGGGUGAGUAACACGUGGAUAACCUACCUAUAAGACUGGGAUAACUUCGGGAAACCGGAGCUAAUACCGGAUAAUAUUUUGAACCGCAUGGUUCAAAAGUAAAAGACGGUCUUGCUGUCACUUAUAGAUGGAUCCGCGCUGCAUUAGCUAGUUGGUAGGGUAACGGCUUACCAAGGCAACGAUGCAUAGCCGACCUGAGAGGGUGAUCGGCCACACUGGAACUGAGACACGGUCCAGACUCCUACGGGAGGCAGCAGUAGGGAAUCUUCCGCAAUGGGCGAAAGCCUGACGGAGCAACGCCGCGUGAGUGAUGAAGGUCUUCGGAUCGUAAAACUCUGUUAUUAGGGAAGAACAUAUGUGUAAGUAACUGUGCACAUCUUGACGGUACCUAAUCAGAAAGCCACGGCUAACUACGUGCCAGCAGCCGCGGUAAUACGUAGGUGGCAAGCGUUAUCCGGAAUUAUUGGGCGUAAAGCGCGCGUAGGCGGUUUUUUAAGUCUGAUGUGAAAGCCCACGGCUCAACCGUGGAGGGUCAUUGGAAACUGGAAAACUUGAGUGCAGAAGAGGAAAGUGGAAUUCCAUGUGUAGCGGUGAAAUGCGCAGAGAUAUGGAGGAACACCAGUGGCGAAGGCGACUUUCNUGGUCUGUAACUGACGCUGAUGUGCGAA